AUUGAACGCUGGCGGCAGGCUUAACACAUGCAAGUCGAGCGGGGUGAUGGUGCUUGCACUAUCACUUAGCGGCGGACGGGUGAGUAAUGCUUAGGAAUCUGCCUAUUAGUGGGGGACAACAUCUCGAAAGGGAUGCUAAUACCGCAUACGUCCUACGGGAGAAAGCAGGGGAUCACUUGUGACCUUGCGCUAAUAGAUGAGCCUAAGUCGGAUCAGCUAGUGGGUGGGGUAAAGGCCUACCAAGGCGACGAUCUGUAGCGGGGCUGCGAGGUAGAUCCGACACACUUGAACUAACACACGGCCCAGACGCCUACGGGAGGGAGCAUUGGGGAAUAUUCGACAAUGGGGGCAAGCCUGAUUCCGACAUGCCACGUGUGAGAAGAAGGCCUUAUGGUUGUAAAGCACUUUACGCGAGGAGGCGGCUAUUUUGGUUAAUACACACGAUGAGUGGACGUUACCCGCAGAAUAAGCACCGGCUAACUCUGUGCCAGCCGCCGCCGUAA
rnacentral:rRNA from 1 species